rnacentral:rRNA from 1 species
CCGGCCACAUUGGGACUGAGAUACGGCCCAGACUCCUACGGGAGGCAGCAGUGGGGAAUUUUGCGCAAUGGGGGCAACCCUGACGCAGCAACGCCGCGUGCGGGACGAAGGCGUCCGCGUCGUAAACCGCUUUCAGCGGGGAACACUUAAACGAGGGUACCCGCAGAAGAAGCCCCGGCUAAAUACGUGCCAGCAGCCGCGGUAAUACGUAUGGGGCGAGCGUUAUCCGGAUUCAUUGGGCGUAAAGCGCGCGUAGGCGGAGCGCUAAGCGGGACCUCUAACCCGAGGGCUCAACCCCCGGCCGGGUCCCGAACUGGCGCUCUCGAGUGCGGUAGGGGAGAGCGGAAUUCCCGGUGUAGCGGUGGAAUGCGCAGAUAUCGGGAAGAACACCGACGGCGAAGGCAGCUCUCUGGGCCGAAACUGACGCUGAGGCGCGAAAGCUGGGGGAGCGAACAGGAUUAGAUACCCUGGUAGUCCCAGCCGUAAACGAUGAGCGGUAGGUGUGGGGGAUGAGAUCCCCCGUGCCGC